rnacentral:rRNA from 1 species
ACUCCUACGGGAGGCAGCAGUGGGGAAUUUUGCGCAAUGGGCGAGAGCCUGACGCAGCAACGCCGCGUGGGUGAUGAAGGUCUUCGGAUUGUAAAACCCUGUCGUCGGGGACGAAGGUACGCGUGUAAAUAGCGUGUGUGCUUGACGGUACCCGGAGAGGAAGCCCCGGCUAACUCUGUGCCAGCAGCCGCGGUAAUACAGAGGGGGCAAGCGUUAUUCGGAAUUAUUGGGCGUAAAGGGCGCGUAGGCGGUGCCAUAAGUGAGAUGUGUAAUCCCCGAGCUCAACUUGGGAACUGCAUCUCAGACUGUGGUGCUGGAGUGCUGGAGAGGGUGGUGGAAUUCCUCGUGUAGCGGUGAAAUGCGUAGAGAUGAGGAGGAACACCAGUGGCGAAGGCGGCCACCUGGACAGUAACUGACGCUGAGGCGCGAAAGUGUGGGUAGCAAACAGGAUUAGAUACCCUGGUAGUCCACGCUGUAAACGAUGAACACUUGGUGUGGAGGGAGUUGACCCCUUCCGUGCCGUAGCUAACGCGAUAAGUGUUCCGCCUGGGGAGUACGGUCGCAAGGCUGAAACUCAAAUGAAUUGACGG